rnacentral:rRNA from 1 species
GAAGCCCCCCUCAAGAUGAGAUAUCCAUAGUGACUUGUUCACUUAAGACCCCUUAGAGACUAUGAGGUAGAUAGGAAUGAGGUGUAAGCACAGCAAUGUGUUCAGCUGACAUUUACUAAUCGGUCGAACGCUUAACCAAA